ACUGCAUCUGAUACUGGCAAGCUUGAGUCUCGUAGAGGGGGGUAGAAUUCCAGGUGUAGCGGUGAAAUGCGUAGAGAUCUGGAGGAAUACCGGUGGCGAAGGCGGCCCCCUGGACGAAGACUGACGCUCAGGUGCGAAAGCGUGGGGAGCAAACAGGAUUAGAUACCCUGGUAGUCCACGCUGUAAACGAUGUCGACUUGGAGGUUGUGCCCUUGAGGUGUGGCUUCCGGAGCUAACGCGUUAAGUCGACCGCCUGGGGAGUACGGCCGCAAGGUUAAAACUCAAAUGAAUUGACGGGGGCCCGCACAAGCGGUGGAGCAUGUGGUUUAAUUCGAUGCAACGCGAAGAACCUUACCUGGUCUUGACAUCCACGGAAGUUUUCAGAGAUGAGAAUGUGCCUUCGGGAACCGUGAGACAGGUGCUGCAUGGCUGUCGUCAGCUCGUGUUGUGAAAUGUUG
rnacentral:rRNA from 1 species